rnacentral:rRNA from 1 species
UUAGUAGCUUGCUCUGAUGAAGUUAGCGGCGGACGGGUGAGUAACACGUGGGUAACCUGCCCAUAGGACUGGGAUAACUCCGGGAAACCGGGGCUAAUACCGGAUAACAUUUUGAACCGCAGGGUUCUAAAUUGACAGGCGGCUUCUGCUGUCACUUAUGGAUGGACCCCCGUCUCAUUAGCUAGUUGGUGAGGUAACGGCUCACCAAGGCAACGAUGCAUAGCCUACCUGAUAGGGUGAUCGGCCACACUGGGACUGAAACCCGGCCCAAACUCCUACUGGAGGCAACAGUACGGAAUCUUCCACACUGGACCAACGUCUGACGGAGCGACACCACGGGAUUGAUGAAGGCUUUCGGGUCGUAUAACUCUGUUGUUAAGGAACAACAAGUGCUAUUUGAAUAACCUGGCCCCUUGACGGUACCUAACCUAAAUGCCACGGCUAACUACCUGCCAGCAGCCGCGGUAAUACGUAGGUGGCAAGCGUUAUCCGGAAUUAUUGGGCGUAAAGCGCGCGCAGGUGGUUUCUUAAGUCUGAUGUGAAAGCCCACGGCUCAACCGUGAAGGGUCAUUGGAAACUGGGAUACUUGAGUGCAGAAUAGGAAAGUGGAAUUCCAUGUGUAGCGGUGAAAUGCGUAAGAUAUGGAGGAACACCAUGCCUAAGCGACUUUCUGGUCUGUAACUGACACUGAUGCGCGAAGCGUGGGGAGCAAACCGGAUA